rnacentral:tRNA from 1 species
AGGGGUGUAGUUCAGUUGGUAGAGCACCGGUCUCCAAAACCGGAAGUCGGGAGUUCGAGCCUCUCCGCCCCUG